rnacentral:rRNA from 1 species
AUGGAGCAGAGCAGGGAGGAGUUCUUGGAGCAGUUCGGCGGCGACUACGGCUACCCGGGCGCGCCCAGGGGCGUCGACCAGAUGCGGGUCGCCGACUUCCAGCGCCUCCAAGGGACGGUGUACCUGGACCAUGCCGGCGCGGCGCUGUACUCGGAGCAGCAGAUGGCCGACGUUGUCAAGGACCUCACCUCCAAUGUCUAUGGCAACCCUCAUAGCCAGAGUGACUCGAGCAUGGCCGUGACCGACCAAGUUACCGCUGCACGCCAUCAGGUCCUAAAAUACUUUAAUGCAUCUCCAAGAGACUACAAAUGCAUAUUCACUUCCGGGGCAACAGCGGCUCUGAAACUUGUUGGUGAAUGUUUUCCAUGGAGCAGAGAAAGCUGUUACAUGUACACAAUGGAAAAUCAUAAUAGUGUACUUGGGAUAAGAGAAUAUGCUCUGAGCAAAGGAGCAACUGCAUUGGCGGUUGAUAUUGAAGAGGAUAAGGGUCUUGAAAAGAAACAUGGAAGUCCUAGUUCCGAUUUGUUUAAGAUCUCGAGACACUCAAACCAAAGAAGAGGUGGAGACGUCCUUUCACAGAAUUGUCAGAAUGGAAGCCUUUCAGCGGUUUCAGAAAACAAUUGGAAUCUGUUUGCAUUUCCUUCUGAGUGCAAUUUCUCCGGACAGAAAUUCAACCUUAACUUGGUCAAGCUUAUCAAGGAAGGAAAUCUUGUGGGGCUCCCUUCGCAGCAGCAGCAGGGUCAAUGGAUGGUUCUGAUAGAUGCUGCAAAAGGAUGUGCAACUGAACCACCAAAUUUAGAUGUGUAUCCUGCUGAUUUUGUUGUCUGUUCGUUCUACAAGAUAUUUGGCUAUCCAACUGGUCUUGGUGCUCUAAUUGUAAAAAACGAGGCUGCCAGUUUGCUGAACAAGACAUACUUCAGUGGAGGAACGGUAGCUGCUUCAAUUGCUGACAUUGACUUUGUUCAGAAAAGAAAGAGCAUCGAACAAGUUCUUGAGGAUGGAACAAUCUCGUUCUUAAGCAUAGCUUCUCUUCAGCAUGGUUUUAAGAUAAUUCAGAUGCUAACUACCUCCGCCAUUGCACGGCACACAUCAUCCCUUGCUACUUAUGUGAGAAAGAAGAUGCUGUACAUGAAGCACAGAAAUAAGAAAAAUGUUUGCAUAAUCUAUGGACAAGAAGCAUCUAAGGUGGCAGAUUUGAAGACAAGCCCUACAAUCACAUUCAAUUUGAAAAGAGAAGAUGGCACCUGGUUUGGAUACCGUGAGGUGGAGAAGCUUGCUUCCUUAUCAGGAAUUCAUCUGCGUACGGGCUGCUUCUGUAACCCUGGCGCUUGUGCUAAGUAUCUUGGCUUGUCUCACUCGGAUCUAGUUUCUAACUUUGAGGCUGGGCAUGUUUGUUGGGAUGAUAAUGACGUAAUAAAAGGAAAACCAACUGGUGCUGUCAGAAUAUCAUUUGGGUACAUUUCCACUUAUCAAGAUGCGGAGGAAUUUCUGAAGUUUCUGCAGUCUUCUUUCGUGUCUAAACCAAUAGCAUCCAGUAAUGGGCACACGUUGAGUAUGAACACUCUUAACUUAGUAGACAAUCAGAGUCAGCAAGUUGUUCCAGAUGUUCGCUUAAAGUCCAUAAUUAUUUAUCCUGUGAAGUCUUGCCAAGGAUUUAGUGUGCAGAGUUGGCCACUGGCCGCUGGUGGCUUAAAAUAUGACAGAGAGUGGCUUCUUCAAGGAUCAGGUGGUGAAAUUUUGACUCAAAAAAAGGUACCAGAGUUGGCCUCUAUCCGCACAUUGAUCAACCUGGAACUUGGGAAGCUCUUCGUAGAGUCACCUAAACGAAAGGAUAAAUUGCAGAUUUCUCUUCUGGAGAAUCUGACUCAUCUAACUGCAGAAGUAGAUGUGUAUGGCCAAAGGUACGAGGUAGAAAGUUAUGAUGAGAAUGUAAACACAUGGUUCAGCGAAGCUAUUGGACGCCAUUGUACCUUUAUGAGAUGUUCAAGCUCCAAGAAAAGUCUCUGCACAUCUACUGGCCAGAACGGUCGUCUAUGCAGGGAUACUCGAAGCAAACUUAGUUUUGUCAACGAAGGACAAUUGCUGCUAAUAUCUGAAGAGAGCGUCUCUGACCUCAACAGUCGGCUUAGUUCAAGCAAUGGAAAUGGUAAGCAGCACGUUCUUGUUGAUGCAAUGAGAUUUCGCCCCAACAUUGUUAUCUCUGGGUCGACGCCAUACAGAGAGGACAACUGGAAGAGGCUUCACAUUGGAGAUGCCUAUUUUACUUCCAUGGGAGGAUGCAACCGUUGCCAGAUGAUCAACCUACACCAGAACGCGGGGCAGGUGAUCAAGUCGAAGGAACCGCUGGCUACAUUGGCCUCCUACCGUCGAGAAAAGGGCAAGAUUUUGUUUGGUGUCCUGUUGAACUACGAAGACGGUUCGAGUGGAGAAGAGACCGUCGCAGAGAGAUGGCUCCAAGUAGGGCAAGAAGUGCACACUUCGACAGAGUGA